rnacentral:ncRNA from 2 species
UUCUUAUCCAGAGAGGUGGAGGGACUGGCCCUUUGAUACCUCGGCAGCAGACUUUUAUAAGUACUGUGCCAAUUCCAGUAGCGUAAUGCUAGAAGAUAAGAA